rnacentral:rRNA from 1 species
AUGCGGCUCAAGCCUGUAUCCGUCGUCUCCUUCCUCGUGUCGCUCCUCUUCCAGUUCCUCGCCGGCGGUGACGGGCACUUCAUCUACAACGGCUUUGAUGGUGCGUGGCUCGAACUCGACGGCAUGGCCGUGGUCGAGCCUGACGGCAAGCUCGCGCUCACCAACGUCACGUCCCAGCUCAAAGGCAGCGCCUUCCACCCGACGCCCCUCCGCUUCCACGAAACCAACGGCACCGUCGCACGCUCCUUCUCAGCAGCCUUCGUGUUCGCCAUUGUCACCGACCUGGUCACGGUGGGCGGAAACGGCCUCGCCUUCUUCGUCGGGCCGACCAAGAACUUGUCCAUGGCGUCGCCGAGCCAGUUCCUCGGCCUCUUCAACCCCCAGAACAACGGCAACGCGAGCAACCACGUCUUCGCCGUCGAGCUUGACACCAUCCUCAACCCGGAGUUUCGGGACAUCAACAGUAACCACGUCGGCGUCGACGUGAACGGCCUGGCAUCGGUCGUGGCCGAACCUGCAGGCUACUACGACGACGACACCGGCGAUUUCAGGAACCUGACUCUCAUCAGUGGUGAUGCCAUGCAAGUGUGGGUGGACUACGACGGCCGAUCCACGGUGCUCAACGUGACCCUCGCGCCUGUGGAGGCUCCCAGGCCCAAAAAGCCCCUCAUCUCCGUCACCGUCGAUCUCUCGCCGGUGCUGAACGGCACGGCGUACGUCGGCCUCUCGUCGUCGACGGGGCCGUUCCGCACGCGCCACUACGUGCUGGGCUGGAGCUUUGCGCUGGACGGGGCAGCGCCGCCGCUCGACUACUCAAACCUCCCCAAGCCGCCCCGCAUCGGCGACAGCAAGCGACGGUCCAAGGCGCGCGACGUCAUCCUUCCGGUGGCCACUCCGAUCCUCGCGCUCGCGGUGGUCGCCGGCGUCUCCCUGCUCUUGUGGCGGCGGUUGCGGUACGCGGAGCUGAGGGAGGAGUGGGAGGUGGAGUUCGGGCCGCACCGGUUGGCAUACAAGGAUCUGUACAUCGCCACCGGCGGCUUCGACGGCAAGCACCUUCUCGGCGUCGGCGGGUUCGGGAGGGUGUACAAGGGCGUGCUCCCGGCGUCCAAGAAGGAGGUGGCCGUCAAGGUCGUCGUGUCGCACGACGACGCGAAGCUGGGGAUGAAGCAGUUCGUCGCCGAGGUUGUCAGCCUCGGCCGCCUCCGGCACCGCAACAUCGUGCAGCUGCUCGGCUACUGCCGGCGCAAAGGCGAGCUCCUCCUGGUUUACGACUACAUGCCCAACGGCAGCCUGGACAAUUGGCUGUACGACCGGAACGCGACGCCGCUGGGCUGGGCGCAGAGGCUCAGCGCCAUUAGAGGCGUCGCGUCCGGCUUGCUCUACCUCCACGACGACUGGGAGAAAGUGGUGGUGCACCGGGACAUCAAGGCGAGCAACGUGCUCCUGGACGGCGAGAUGAACGCGCGGCUCGGCGACUUCGGGCUGGCCAAGCUGUACGACCGAGGCACCGACCCGCAGACUACCAGCGUGGUGGGCACCAUGGGUUACCUCGCGCCGGAGCUGGCGUGCACGCGGCGGGUCACGCCGGCCACAGACGUGUUUGCGUUCGGAGCGUUCGUGCUGGAGGUGGCCUGCGGCCGGCGGCCCAUCGAGCACGGCGCGGUCGACGACAACCGGCUGGUGCUCGCGGACUGGGUGCUCGAGCGCUGGCACAACGGGGACGUCACGGACACGGCGGACCCGCGGCUCUCCGGCGCCUACGAUGUCGAGGAGGCCGCGGCGGUGCUCAGGCUGGGCCUGGUGUGCUCCCACCCGGCGCCCGCUGCGAGGCCGUCGAUGCGGCAGGUGGUGCAGUACCUUGACGGCGACGUGCCGAUGCCCGAGCCGGCGCCGACGUAUCGGAGCUUCACCGCGGUGGCCUUGAUGCAGAACGCCAAGGGCAACGACUCCUACGUUGCUUCAUACCCGUUGUCUUCGGCGACUAGCGUCGGCGCAUCCUCUGUUCUCUCCGGGAGGUGA